AAAAAGAAAUUAAUAACAAGAUGACAUGUGGAAGAGAGAGAAGGUUUCUUAUUUCAAAAACGAUUCUGAGAAAAACUAAUUAAAAAAUAUUA
rnacentral:sRNA from 1 species